rnacentral:lncRNA from 12 species
AUAUAUAUAUAUAUAUAUAUAUAUAUAUAUAUAUAUAUAUAUAUAUAUAUAUAUAUAUAUAUAUAUAUAUAUAUAUAUAUAUAUAUAUAUAUAUAUAUAUAUAUAUAUAUAUAUAUAUAUAUAUAUAUAUAUAUAUAUAUAUAUGUAAUAAGUGCACUAUAAGACACUUUGGAUGAAAGCAGCUGCUAAAUGACUUAUUUGUCUUGGAUUAAGGAUCACGGCAUAUGGAGCAGCUGGUGGACGCAGUGUGCAGGCUGUCCACAAGUCACAUGGGGUGUACAUGACCGGAGACUUCCUGUUACAGAAGGAUGAGCUGCUGUAUAUUCUAGUGGGACAGGAAGGAGAGGAUGCUUGUCCUAAUAUGGUGCCUACUAUGGACCGGAUCUGCAGGGAACAGCAAGGACCCUCUACCAACAAGACCCAGCUUAAGGGAGGAGGCGGUGGGGGAGGAGGAGGGACCUACAUCUUCAAGGUAACACUUUAUAAAAUGCAAUUUUAAAUUGGAUAUUUCCAACGUUUGUACAUUUAAAUGUGUUCAUCUAUUAGUUGGGAUUAUUUGGGAUAGUUCACCCAAAAAUGAAAAUUCUAUCAUCAUGUUGUUGACAAUAACAGUUGACGGUAGCCAUUGACUUCCAUAGAAAAAAUUAUAAUAAAAAAAAAUAAAAAUCCUAUGGACGCCAAUGGCUGUCAUCAACUGUUUGGUCAUCAACAUUCUUCAAAAUAUCUUAUUUUGUGUUCAACAGAACAAAGAAACUCAUACAUGUUUGGAACAACUUGAUAGUGAGUAACUGAUGAAUACAAUUCUUAGGUGAAUUAUCCCUCAGUUUCUUCAGUCAGUUACUUUGAAAACGUCUAAGUUUGUUAAACUUUGGGGCAUAAAUGACCCCAAAUCAUGAAGCAAGCAAAAAAAAAAAAAAAAAAAAAAAAAAAAAAAUACAUAAUAAAAAUUGUCUGACAGAGUUGUAUGCAACAGUUAUAGUUAAUUCAGUACUGAUAUCAAUAAAAAUAUUUUAAUCUAAUUACAAUAGACUAAUUCAGCCAAUAUGCAGUAUAUGUUUUAUGUCAUUUUUAUGCUUAAAAGAGUAUUGGGUGUUAGCUUAGCCACAUGCUAACAUCAAAUUCUAUUGGAUUAAUAUUUUAUCUGUUGUGGAGUUAAUAUUGUUUUAUUUAUUUUGAGUUUCUGCCCAUGUAGAGUAUUACAAACCAGGUUCCAUUUCACCAAUAAUAAUUGAUUAAAAAAAGUCCUCGAAGCCAUGAAAAGAAGGAAUGAAUAGUCCAUAUAUAGAAAAAUGAGGGUGGGCCAGUAAGCAAUCACCCUGAGCACAGCAGAAACUACACAGUAACAUGCUAAUACCUUAGCACACAACACCCUGGCAACCCCACAGUAGCAUCAUGUCACCUCACAUUUCAGCGACAAUCGGAAGUUCUACACUGUUAAAAUAUAGUUUCACAUUUAAUGUUUCCAUUGGUUAAAGGUGGUGAAUGGAGUCCACAUUCCACUACUCAUUGCCGCUGGAGGAGGAGGCCGAGGCUACAGCAGCCAAUCAGAAACCCCUGAAGAAGUGAUGGACAGGGAUCCCAGCAUCCCUGGCCACAAUGGAAAAUCAGGCGCUGCAGGUAACCUCAACAGUUUUGUAAUGAAUUACUGAUUAGUUGUAUUAUAAAUCAAUUAGGCAAAUUUUAGCGUUACUGAACUAGUGUGUGUUACUCCUGGCAAACAGCUUACAAUAGCAGUGAAGCAGAACAUACUGCACAUAGGGAAGAAAAUGAUUUUUUUUUGUUUGUUUUUUUACUACAUGUGGAUAGUUAGAACUAUGCCUUUGUUUACCAGGAUGUCAGGUUUGAUUGAAAUGGAGAGAGAAACAAAAAAUGCUGCUCCCCCAGGCUUUUUUCCUUCCUGGACAUGGACAUAAUAAUUUUCUUUUCAUGCUAGGCUUCAAAAUAGUCCUUUAUUCAGUCUGAGAUUCAAUAUUUUUGAGGUGGUUUCUUCAAAAUCUUUGUAGCAGUGUCUGAAUAAGACUGAGGCAGAAAAUUAGUCUUAUAAUACUGGAUCUUGGAUGUUCUUGACAUUUAUUCAACAAAAAAAGUAAUGUGCUUGUAAGCUUUUUUGCUAACUGAUUGGAAGAUGAUAACAGCAAUAGGGUAAUAAUAGUGUGCUCUGCUUUCAAGAUGGCACAUGUGUGUCUGUUAAUCAAGUUUCUGCAUUGUGUUGUGGGUGUUUUGGUUGUGUCUUGCCGAGCACUCAGUACAGCUUCUAUCUGCAGCACUCUUUUCAAAGGCCAGCUCCCCUAUUGUGCUCUUUUUACAAAACCUUCACUCUAAUUCUAUUCAACAAGUUUCCAUCAUUUCCAUUAGGAUAUGUACAGAAAUUUAAUAAUCACCUUGCAACCUUACUGACCACCCUAGUAACAACCCUAAAAAAAGCACUCAGAACACCCUAGCAGUCAUCUAGCGAAGAUGAAUCCAUCGAUCCUUCCAAUCUUACCUUCCUUGUUGGAAGUUGUCUCUAAAAAUGUUCUGCAUUCAAAACUUGUUGAGUUUUUUGUUGUUUUAUUCAUAUUUUUUCCCCCCAGCAAAGCAUGUGCUGCUAAGAAACCAUUAGAGAGUUAGCAAAAUGGGACAGCUUUGACAUCUGAAAUAAUUUGCCACAUUUUUAUUUGCUAAGCUCAUGCUAAGCAACAGCACUGACCUGCUAUAGAUGAACAGGGAUGUUCAUAGGAGUCUAUUUUCUCUGGAGAAAUCUCUGUGCCACUCUGCAUUCAUAUAUCUGUUGGAGGAUGGAGAUAAAGAAAAAAAAAGUUAUAUUGUCACCUGUUGUGAAAUUAAUUAGCCACGCAGAGAUACUGAAAUGGGGCACAAGUGUCUUUUAAUGCCAUUUUUAUGAUUUGCGUGGCUUUGUGGAUUUC